rnacentral:rRNA from 1 species
UCUGGUUGAUCCUGCCUGAACUGAUGUGUUUAUUUCAAAGAUUAAGCCAUGCAUGUAUAAGUUUAAUCGUUUAUCGAGAAACCGCGAACGGCUCAUUAGAAUGGCCAUUAUUUACUUGAUCUUGAUUGUCUAAAUGGAUAACUGUGGAAAAGCUAGAGCUAAUACAUGCACUAAAGCUUUGUCCUUACGGAAAAGCGCAUUUAUUAGAACAAAACCACGCGGCUUCGGCUGCUUCUUGUUGACUCAGAAUAACUUAGCUGACCGCAUGGCCUUGUGCCGGCGGCGUGUCUUUCAAGCGUCCACUUUAUCAACUUGACGGGAGCAUAAUCGACUCCCGUGGUGGUGACGGAUAACGGAGGAUCAGGGUUCGACUCCGGAGAAGGGGCCUGAGAAAUGGCCACUACGUCUAAGGAUGGCAGCAGGCGCGCAAAUUACCCACUCUCGGCUCCAGGAGGUAGUGACGAGAAAUAACGAGACUGUUCUCUUUGAGGCCGGUCAUCGGAAUGGUACAAUUUAAACCCUUUAACGAGUAUCAAGCAGAGGGCAAGUCUGGUGCCAGCAGCCGCGGUAAUUCCAGCUCUGCAAAUACAUAGUGGCCAGACAAACUACAGCGAAAGCAUUUGCCAGAAUGUUUUUAUUAAUCAAGAACGAAAGUCAGAGGUUCGAAGGCGAUCAGAUACGCCCUAGUUCUGACCGUAAACGAUGCCAACUAGCUAUCCGCCGAUGGAAAUUAUAUUGCCUUGGUGGGGAGCUUCCCGGAACGAAAGUCUUCCGGUUCCGGGGAAGUAUGGUUGCAAAGCUGAAACUUAAAGGAGUUGACGGAAGGGCACCACCAGGAGUGGAGCCUGCGGCUUAAUUUGACUCAACACGGGGAAACUCACCCGGCCCGGACACUGUGAGGAUUGACAGAUUGAUAGCUUUUUCAUGAUUCAGUGGAUGGUGGUGCAUGGCCGUUCUUAGUUCGUGGAGUGAUUUGUCUGGUUUAUUCCGAUAACGAGCGAGACUCUAACCUACUAAAUAGUUGGUACAUACUCUUAGUGUAUACAGCUUCUUAGAGGGAUUUGCGGCGUUCAGCCGAAAGAAAUUGAGCAAUAACAGGUCUGUGAUGCCUUAGAUGUCCGGGCUGCACGCGCGCUACACUGGCAAAAUCAACGUGCUUGUCCUACCCUGAAAGGGGCGGGUAAACCAUUGAAAAUUUGCCGUGAUUGGGAUCGGAAAUUGCAAUUAUUUUCCGUGAACGAGGAAUUCCAAGUAAGUGCGAGUCAUCAGCUCGCGUUGAUUACGUCCCUGCCCUUUGUACACACCGCCCGUCGCUGCCGGGACUGAGCCAUUUCGAGAAAUUUGGGGACCGUUGAUUUAAUUUUUCUAAAUUACUUUGAUGGAAACCAAUUUAAUCGCAGUGGCUUGAACCGGGCAAAAGUCGUAACAAGGUAGCUGUAGGUGAACCUGCUGCUG